rnacentral:lncRNA from 1 species
UGUCCCCCUAAUCGAAAUGGUUGGCCCCACCUCUAUUAUCAGGGAUGGUGCUAGUUAUAUUUUUUUUAAGCAAACGGCAGGGAACCUCCCUACCUAUGUUAUAUUAUCUCCUCUCCUCAACGCAUACAUAAUCCAGCUCACGUGCAAUGUUGAUUUAUCUUCACUUAGCUGCAGUGUUGAUGGUCAAUAAUGUUGUUUAGUGAUCAUCAACAAUAACACUAGUUAUUGGUCCAACAUCUUCACCAUGCUUAAUGCCUCUUUGGGUGCACGCCAGCUAAAGUUUAGCUAGGUUUAGCUAAAAAACAGUUAAAAUUUAGCUGAGUCUAUUAGCUACAGCAUCUAAAUAUCUGAACUAAAGUUUAGCUAGAAACUUUUAGUUGCCUAAAGUUUUAUUUUGAAAUUUAGCUAGCUAAACUUUAGCCAGCUAAAUUAUUAUUCUUAUGGUGCAAGUGCGAUUUGUUGGGUAAUUUAGUUGACCAGAAAUGACAUGGCACCAUCUUAUUUGCAGGUAAUAUUCAGGGGGACGUAUUGGAUCAUGUUCUGGUUCCUACUACACAAGGAGGAGGAUGGCCAAGUGAUGAAGAUGGGUUGCAGGCAGAUACCACAAUAGAGGUGUUUGCGAGAAACGGUUGGAGAUUUAGCAAUAGAAUUGCACGUUAAAUGUUGCACUUGGAACUUUUACCUUCUUUUGCUUUGCCUCAAAACUUUGUUUUUAAGAUUGCAUGGAUCUUUAUUUUGGUGCUUAUAAUAAAGAACAGUUAUAUGUUUUAGUCGAUAUAGAAGUUAGAAUAUCAAUAUAUUCUCUUUUCUAAAAGAA